UACGUAGGGGGCAAGCGUUGUCCGGAAUUAUUGGGCGUAAAGAGCUCGUAGGCGGCUUGUCGCGUCGACUGUGAAAUCCCGCGGCUCAACUGCGGGUCUGCAGUCGAUACGGGCAGGCUAGAGUUCGGUAGGGGGAGACUGGAAUUCCUGGUGUAGCGGUGAAAUGCGCAGAUAUCAGGAGGAACACCGGUGGCGAAGGCGGGUCUCUGGGCCGAUACUGACGUGAGGAGCGAAAGCGUGGGGGAGCGAACAGG
rnacentral:rRNA from 1 species